GGCCUUGUAUUCAUAUAAAAUGAUAUUAGAAUGCAAUUUUAAUGGUGUAAUUAGUACUAAGGCUU
rnacentral:tRNA from 1 species